CCUACGGGGGGCAGCAGUGAGGAAUAUUGGUCAAUGGACGCAAGUCUGAACCAGCCAUGCCGCGUGAAGGAUGAAGGCGUUUGCGUUGUAAACUUCUUUUGCGGGGGAAGCGGUACCCCGAGAAUAAGCACCGGCUAACUCCGUGCCAGCAGCCGCGGUAAUACGGAGGGUGCAAGCGUUAUCCGGAUUUACUGGGUUUAAAGGGUGUGUAGGCGGACUUUUAAGUCAGCGGUGAAAUCUCCGGGCUCAACCCGGAAACUGCCAUUGAUACUAUUGGUCUUGAAUGUUGUUGAGGUGGGCGGAACGGGUCAUGUAGCGGUGAAAUGCAUAGAUAUGACCCGGAACACCGAUUGCGAAGGCAGCCCACUAAGCAACAUUGACGCUGAGGCACGAAAGCGUGGGGAUCAAACAGGAUUAGAUACCCUUGUAGUC
rnacentral:rRNA from 1 species